rnacentral:rRNA from 1 species
AGCGAACGCUGGCGGCAGGCCUAACACAUGCAAGUCGAACGAACUCUUCGGAGUUAGUGGCGGACGGGUGAGUAACACGUGGGAACGUGCCUUUAGGUUCGGAAUAACUCAGGGAAACUUGAGCUAAUACCGGAUGUGCCCUUCGGGGGAAAGAUUUAUCGCCUUUAGAGCGGCCCGCGUCUGAUUAGCUAGUUGGUGAGGUAAAGGCUCACCAAGGCGACGAUCAGUAGCUGGUCUGAGAGGAUGAUCAGCCACAUUGGGACUGAGACACGGCCCAAACUCCUACGGGAGGCAGCAGUGGGGAAUCUUGCGCAAUGGGCGAAAGCCUGACGCAGCCAUGCCGCGUGAAUGAUGAAGGUCUUAGGAUUGUAAAAUUCUCUCACCGGGGACGAUAAUGACGGUACCCGGAGAAGAAGCCCCGGCUAACUUCGUGCCAGCAGCCGCCGUAAGAC